rnacentral:rRNA from 1 species
UACAGAGGUCUCAAGCGUUGUUCGGAUUCAUUGGGCGUAAAGGGUGCGUAGGCGGCGCGGUAAGUCGGGGUGUGAAAUCUCGGAGCUUAACUUCGAAACUGCAUUCGAUACUGCCGUGCUUGAGGACUGGAGAGGAGACUGGAAUUUACGGUGUAGCGGUGAAAUGCGUAGAUAUCGUAAGGAAGACCAGUGGCGAAGGCGGGUCUCUGG